GGGUUGUGAGGUUAAGCGAAUAAGCGUACACGGUGGAUGCCUAGGCAAUCAGAGGCGAUGAAGGACGUGCUAAUCUGCGAUAAGCGUCGGUAAGGUGAUAUGAACCGUUAUACCCGACGAUUUCCGAAUGGGGAAACCCAAUAUCCAAUGGAUAUUAUCAUUAACUGAAUACAUAGGUUAAUGAAGCGAACCGGGAGAACUGAAACAUCUCAGUACCCCGAGGAAAAGAAAUCAACCGAGAUUCCCCUAGUAGCGGCGAGCGAACGGGGAACAGCCCAGAGUCUUAAUCAACAGCAGCAUCAGGAGAACGGUCUGGAAAGUCCGGCAGUAAAGGGUGAUAGCCCCGUAUCCGAAGAUGUUGUUAUUGUGAACUCGACGAGUAGGGCGGGACACGUGUUAUCCUGUCUGAAUAUGGGGGGACCAUCCUCCAAGGCUAAAUACUCCUGAUUGACCGAUAGUGAACCAGUACCGUGAGGGAAAGGCGAAAAGAACCCCGGCGAGGGGAGUGAAAAAGAACCUGAAACCGUGUACGUACAAGCAGUAGGAGCCCCA
rnacentral:rRNA from 1 species